AUAAUUUAAUGAGAAAAUUGCUGACAAGCACCAUUAGUUUGCAAAUAUGACAGCGACCAAAUUCCGUUGAGAGUAACGCUAUUUAACUUAUUUCCUAUAUAAUGUUUCCAUAGAAGUUCUAUCUUUUUAAGAAAGUUAUAAUUGAGGUGUUUGUAGCAUUUUGUGGACCUUAAUGCGGCGGAAUAACCUGACAGUGACAACAACAGCCGUAUGAUGAGUUAAUCACGGAGUUACUAAUAAACAGCAUUAAUAUUCAACUGGGUAUGUCGAUGAUUUUAUAUGAUAAAUUUAUGUCAUAUUUGUUAGUUAUUGGGUGUAUAGAAAUGUUGGGUUGUGUUCAUCGAUCAAAUUUCAAUAUGCUCAUGUGUGAUAUACCAACUUAUCAACGCGGUAGUCUACAUUU